rnacentral:rRNA from 1 species
AUUGAACGCUGGCGGCAUGCCUAACACAUGCAAGUCGAACGGAGAUAGGGGCAACCUUAUUUCAGUGGUGGACGGGUGAGGAAUGCGUCGGAAUCUGCCCUAUGGUGGGGGAUAACACAGGGAAACUUGUGCUAAUACCGCAUAAUGUCGAGGGACCAAAGCAGGGGACCGCAAGGCCUUGCGCGAUAGGAUGAGCCGACGCCCGAUUAGCUUGUUGGUAGGGUAAUGGCCUACCAAGGCGACGAUCGGUAGCUGGUCUGAGAGGAUGAUCAGCCACACUGGGACUGAGACACGGCCCAGACUCCUACGGGAGGCAGCAGUGGGGAAUAUUGGACAAUGGGCGCAAGCCUGAUCCAGCAAUGCCGCGUGUGUGAAGAAGGCCUGCGGGUUGUAAAGCACUUUUGUUCGGGAAGAAAUCAUGUCGGUUAAUACCCGAUGUGGAUGACGGUACCGAAAGAAUAAGCGCCGGCUAACUUCGUGCCAG